AGAGUCAAGUAUUUAUUUUCUAAGUCUGGUUGACUUUUUAAUGUCUUAUUUUAUGGGAGAUCUACUGGCAUUGUUUAUUUUCAAUCCAUGAUGAACAAACCUUAAGAGUUUAGGAAUUUGAGUAUGAUAUUCCAGACUCUAAAAUUCAAAUAUAUUUUCAUAAUUUAUCCUGACAUUUAGGGGCCUGCUAUUUUUCUACAUUGAGGAAGGCUCUAUUAUAGAAGACUUACUACUAUCUUCCUCUUAUUGGUGUAUUUGAAAGACAUCUGCAGUAGUCAUUUUUUUCUUCAAUAUUUAAAAAACAUUUUGAUAAACCACUGAAUUACUUACUCUAUAUAAGAAAAAAUUCUCACUCGGAGAAAAUGUAGGGGUUGAUAAUCCAACCAAAAUUAUCAUCACAUCUAGUGAUGUGAAGGAAAAUGCCCAUAUGGUCAAAGGAAGUAAAAUAUAAUAAUAAAACUCCCUGCAUGCAUACACAUUUAAGAUGAAGGCAAAGAUUUAUGCUGAGCUUCUUCAUACCCUUAAAAUCAACUUUUUCUAUGAUUCUCCCAUUUAAUAACUAUUCUCCACAAAACAUAUGUGCCCUUAUUUGCAGUGAUACUGACCCCCUAUUCAGUAAUUAGAUAUAAAAAUUUACAAUGUAGCACAUACUUCUUUUACGUGUGGCACUUGGCUUUUAUGAACUUGGUAAAGGGCUGGUAAUUGUACAUAGUCCAGCUGUGAACUAUUCAAACUGCUUCUCCUAAGAAAGUUCAGAAAUAAAUGCAGUAUGGCUGUUAGCUCACCGUUAUUUAUGAAAUCCAAUUUCUUUAGGUGUCUUAAAUUGUAUUUUCAAUAAUUAUGAUGAGUAGAUAUAAAAAACAUAGGGAUUAUGGUUUAACAGGUGUCAUCUAAUACCAUGCUUGAGUGCUGUAAAUAGCCCAAGGAGUAUAUUCACGUCUAAUUGUCUACACUCCAGAGCACAACAGCUGCCACUUGUAGCAGAUGCAUCAUCUGACUGACUAUAUUCUCCAAUGUGUCGACAGGCUCUUCUGGUGCAGCUGAUUAUAUAUGAUCAUAUUUGGCAUAGCUGCAUGCCCUUAAUAGACACUUCUAUCAUUGUUCACUGAACACUGGAAUACUUUAGUCAGCUGUUUAUUAUGCCAGCUAUAAUGGAGUAUCAGCCAAAAAAACUUCAUUAAGAUUGCUGUUUACUGGACUAUGUAAAAUGAAUCAAUGACCUUAACAAACUAGUGUCCACAUGUCAAAAAAUGCACUACAGUGGACAGAAACAGCAGCCUUAGCCAGAAUUCUUUACAGAGAGAAGGGAGCCUUUUCUAAUCCUAGCUGAGCAUGGGUAGUAAAAGUAAUUUGACUGUAGGAAAGGUGUUCUUUUACAGUUUUCAGCAUUCAGGAAGGAGCUUUUGGAAAUGAUUACUGUUCACCAUGUACAGUGUUUGGAUUUGUCUAGGUCUACUCACUUAAUGAGUAGAACAAAUAAUAGAGUAGAUUAAGGAUAUUUAUUUUCUCUAGAAUACUGCAGUGGAAGGAAAAGAUCAAAUCACUGACUUAACAAGGUCAAGUACAGUUUGAAAUAAAAAAUAAUUGAAUGAACAGAUUUGAUAGCAGAGCGAUUUGGGGAAAAUUGAUUUUUGGAACCUGCAGUAGGUAAGUAUAAUGUAAUUGUUUGUAGCUGUUUCAGAUAGGUGUCCAGGAUAGAUCUCAUGCCAUGCAGUUUUGGUUUCCUGAUUCCUAAGGAUAGAUUAAGACUUUCCCUUAAAAUAAAUAAAAUAUAUGGGACAGAGAUGAAACUUUUAGUGCCAGCUGCUAAAGAGGUAAUGAUAAGUAAUAAAGCAGUGGUGUUUUGGAAGUAAGGUUCUAAGGACUGAUAAAUCAAUCCUCUUCCAACUGGAGAGUGAUUAAUUGUAAAAUCCUAGCCUGCACUGUGUGAAUUUUCAGACAGUAACAUUGAAGCCUUAUCCACUCACAAGUGUUUGUAUCUUGUUCAUUCCUAGAGAAUGGGGAGUCCUCUCUUUAACAGAUGCAGUAGUAAGGCAUGAAGAUUAUAUUGUCAUCUGGAGCACACAAUCAUGUUAGACCACCAUGAUUUCUUAAAAUUAGUUAGACAAGGCUACCUGCACGAAUAACUUUUAUUAGUCAAAUUAAGAUCUCACACAAAGAACAGCUACUAAAAUGUCUGUGGCUAGUGGCAUACAUCAAUAUAUAGAGUACUUCAGAUCUCAGUAAUACAGCCUUGUGGAAGUAUGAAAAGCCUUUAAAAUGGUGCAAAAAGUGUGGUGGUUGGUUGGUUGGUUUGCUUUGUUUAAGUCCAUUAUUUUCUGCAGCUGUAAGAGGAAGAGUGGUGAGAAGAUAUCUUAUUGAGAAAGCCCAUGUUUAUGUGGAAGAUGAGUUUCUGAUCCUAGAAUGACUCUGGCUGGUAAUUUAAGGAGAAUGCCAUAUUUUAGAUAUAUUAAUAUAAACACAAAGGCUCUCAGUAAGGAUGCGUUAAACUAUUUUGACAUUUUUUUUUCCCCAUAUUAUUACAAGUAUCAAAAUGCUGAAUUAAUUAAGAGGAAUAAGAGUGCCAUAUGCUUAUACUACAAUGCACAAAUACUGCACCAACACAUGAAAUGUAUUUUCCAUGCAAUAACAUGAUUCUAAGCAGCCAAAAAGAUGAAUUGCCAAUUUUUAUAUUAGACUGUUCUUAAUAUUGUUUUAACCUGAAAUUCUGUAGAUUGUUUUUUAUGCUUAACACAACUUUUCAAAUCAAAAACUCUUUCAUGGUGACUGCAUUGUUCUCAGUCACUCGGUUUGCUAUGCCCUCAUUGUGUUUUAUCUAACAAUGACAAGCACGUGAAAUAUUCAGAUUCUACGUACUAAUUAUUACGAGAUAAAGUUGAAUUUUUGUAAUUUUCUAUCUUAGGAAAACUAAGGAAAGAGAAUUAUUAGCUGUUCACAGAUUUUGUUGCAACUUCUUUUGUUCUUUUGUUGCAGUGUUCUCACCUAUAAUGGGAAUUGAAGCCACAUCAAUCAAACCAAACUUACUGAUGGCUUAGGCAAAAGUGUCUGAUACCUGUCAUGAGUGGGUAACUUCAGUUCCCAAAUCUAGGAAAUGCAUGCUUGCAAAACUCUACCCUGAAAUAGCCCAAAUGACCUGUUGCAGAAGAAGGGGACAGUAGAAAUACAAUUGUGAAACACAUUUUUCACUACCAUAUUCUGUGCAUUAUGCAAUGCCUUGUUACGAAGGUUACCCUUCACUUCUGAAGUAGUUUGCAUGCAGACCUAAACUGGUAACUCAGAGCAGGAUCUUCUGCUUAACAGAAUAGUUGUUUGUUAAUGUCAGGCUCAACUACUGUCAAAUGAUGCUGACUGCAAUUCUAGUCAAAAUCAAAUUUUGUCUGCCUUGUGUAAUGCCAUUUGCACUAGCAGGAAGGCAUCACAAUAGUGCAUCCAAAACUGUAGAGUCACAAAGAGAAUAGAACUCUGAGGUUCCAAAGGAAUGUUUGAUCUUGAACUUUUUGGCUAUGUGUUUAAUUUUCUCCCAUAGUCAGUACAGUGUCAGUACUCUUUGCAAAUGUGAACUAGCUCUGCAUCCAAAUGUGUGUUUUUAAAGCUCUGCAUCACUCAGUGUCUUUGAGAGUAGCCUGAUGGAUAGACUGAUUGCUAGAAAUGCUUAGGAAGUGCCAGCAAAGGUGCAAUACUUCUGGAUCCAGCAGAUUUUGAGAAGAGUACAAACACUGCAUUAGCUUUUGGUGGAAUCUGAAAUAAAUGAAACAGUUCAGAAAAGGAGGCGUUGAUUGAAAUAUGUGUUCAGCUGUUCUGGGAACGGUGAUCAGAGAGCCACAAUAUUUGUCAUCAGAAUGUGCCAAUUCAAGGGAAGGAACCAUAAUGCAAUGAAACAUUUGGCAUUUGACAGAGGUGUCUGUCCAGAUGGAAGUCUCAAAGAUUCUCUGCUUUCUACACCCACAAUAAAAAGUUGACACUGAGUAA